rnacentral:lncRNA from 1 species
UAUGUGUUUUGGUGGUCGGCAUGACAUGUUUGAGAUGGUAUUAGAAUUAUGUUCUUUUUGGUUGCUUUUCGCGGGCUGGAUGCAAUUGGUUCUCAUAUAAUGUUAGUGGGCUUCUAAAUGUUAGUGGUUUUGAAGAAUGCAUCGAUUUUGCUGUGGUUGAAGAUGAGGUUUAGUUGUUGAAAAAUUAAACUUUGUGGUGUUGUCUCCAACCAUUUUCUAACAUUGUUUCCUUUGAUGGUUUAUAUAUAUCGCCAACGUUUUAAAAAUUGCACGCUCGUGAUU